UGCCCAGGGAGGUGGUGGGGUCACCAGUCCCUGGAGGUGUUUAAGCAGAGCCUGGAUGUGGCAUCAGUGCCACGGUCUGGGUGACAGGGUGGUGCUGGCUCACGGGCUGGACUGGAUGAUCUCAGAGGUCUUUUCCAACCCAGCUGAUUCUGAGGAAUUUCUUCCC